GUUGGGGUCAGUCUCUUCGAUUCAAUCCCGUCACGUGUGCACAAAGAAAUGGUUGCCUGUUGCCCCUUGGCAGUCCUCAAAGGCCAAUCCAUGUCCUGCCUCAGAAAUCUGAAUCCUUCGCUGCAAGAAGCCAUCGAAAGCUCUGCCCAAGCCGAGGAUGACCUGCAAGAAGAUGACCUACUGAGCACACCCCUCUCUCUCUCUCUCUCUUUCUCUCUCUCUCUCACGCGGCUGGCAGAUGUGGCGUGUCGUCCUCUUGUAUGCCGAAGAUUCUGAGCUGAUUCCUUCCCCCACCGAAUGGAUCACGGCCGUCUGCUUGCAUCGUGUCGAAGAUCCAGCCGUUUGUCGUUCGAUCUUAUCUCUUCACCUCGUCGUUGACGUCCGCGCCAGCGCGUCCAUCGCAGCGGAAUCGCUCGGGGAAUAUUCAACGCACAGCCGCCUACUUUUCCUUCGCUUCAUCUCAAAAUGACGCCCGUUAUAGUCCUCAAUUCAGUAUCCCGAUACAUAUUUAUGAUAGUUAGCGUCUAGUUAUCAUCGAUGACUCGAUAUGGAGGAUGAUAACGAAACGUUACACUGAAUAUAACGGUUCUGUAAGAUCUUGGCAAAGAUUCUGAUAUGCACGCGACGCCCCGUACUUGGCUUCCCCUCCUAUACGCCUCUCCUCUUCUGAUCUCCCCUCUUUGUUCCUUCCCAUGCCAUCCCCAUGUUAGCUGAUUCCGCCUCUCUUCCCCCAUCACUGCCCCUCGAUCAUUUGAGCUCUAAACAAAGCAGAAACUUCUUUCCUUGACGGUCUCCCCCGCAGUCGUCUGCUUAUACCUGUACCAUCUCAAAUCUUUGGCAUCAGACCAAGCUAUGGAUUUCUCUGCGACGCUGCCGAGCUGUGGCGACUACGUUCGUGCGCUCGAGGAAGAGCGGAAGAAGAUACAGGUGUUUCAGAGAGAGCUGCCUCUUUGCCUGCAGAUCGUCACGCACGCCAUCGACAGUGCAAGACGACAGAUGAAUGGCCAUGCUACGAUGAGCGAAGACGGGCCUAUUCUGGAGGAGUUCAUUCCGUUGAAGCCGAGCUCGUCUUCGUCGGAGGAUAGAAGCGUCGAUGGAGCUGCCAAGAAGAGCGGGUCGGCGGCGACCAGGGCCGAUGAGAAGCCGGACUGGCUUAGAUCCGUCCAGCUCUGGAAUCAGGAAGCGGACGCAUUUGGGAAAGUGGAACCUCCGACGAAACCGAUAGCAGUGAAUGCCAGGAGGAUCGGGGGAGCAUUCCACCCCUUCGAAAGAGAAAAGCAUGUUGCAGCACCAAUCCCAGCUUCCAGUUCAACAACUAGUGGAAAAGGAGGAGUUGGUGGUAGUGGUGUUGGUGGAGAAGAGAAGGAGAAGGAAGGGCAGUCUCAGCCUCAUAGGAAGGCGAGACGGUGUUGGUCACCGGAGCUCCACCAACGAUUCCUGCACGCCCUCAAACAGCUCGGUGGCUCCCAUGUCGCGACGCCGAAGCAGAUCAGAGAGCUGAUGAAGGUGGAUGGCCUCACCAACGAUGAGGUCAAGAGCCAUUUGCAGAAAUACCGGCUGCACAAUCGGCGGCCGAGCACUGCAGUUCACAGCAGCAGCAGCAACACCACCAAUCCUCCCAUUCCCCAGUUUGUGGUGGUCAGCGGCAUAUGGGUUCCACCUCCAGAUUACACAGUUGCAGCACCACCGGCCGAUGCUCCUUGUACUCCUGCAGUUGGAGUUUUUGCCCCUGCGGCAUCACUCCCGUCAGACUCGAGAGUGCGGCCGCAGCAGAGCAAGCAAUCGGACAGGUCGCCCACAGGGCCACAGCUCGAGAAAGGUGGACGCAGCGAAGAAAGUAACAGCAGCGGGAAUGCUGCUGCUUUCAACUCUCUUUCUCCUGCCGCCUCUUCUUCCUCACAGACCACCACAGCCUCGCAUCGUUUACACAGAUCUUGACUGCGCAUGCAUUUCCUCGUCUCCUCUUGACCAGAGCUUUCGCCACCUCCCUCGAUCGUCCCCCAUGAAAUAAACAGAUAAAGGGAAGUGAAUUGUUGUUUACCCGCAUCACAAAGGAGUGGAUAAGCAUGGUGGUCAACGCGCUCUGGGCCAAACAGCGUCUCUAUUGGUUGACAGCUUUGUUGAUGAUUCGUUGGCUCUCUUAUCCUUUCAUUAGAUUACUUGUUUGGUUGAUGUUGUCGGCGGUGCAUGGCUGCUAUCAUUCAACAGAAGCUUCCAGCCGACGCAGCUUUCAUAGAAUCCUUAAAUAAUACUCAAAACAGCGAGAGGCCGGAUGAAGUGUCAGAACAAGAUAGCCACCAUACAGAUUUCAUGGAUAAGGAUAAAAGAGAACUUUGGUUGAGACUUUACAGGCUUUCCUCUCUGCUCCUCACCCUUUAUGCGCAGGACACCGAAACUUCACGAGUACUGUAGCAACUUUUCUGCACAAGAACAUCACUUUAGCGAAGGAGACCAAGUGUUUGUAAAAAUGAUUCAAACGUGUUCUUGCAGAGCUAAGGGAAGCGAAGGAUGCAGUUUUCAUCUCUAA